UGUAACCAACCUGACGGAACUGAAAAAACACACUACAAGAAUUUCAUAAUGCAAUCACAAGUACUAAUAGCAGAAUAGACAAAGCGGAGGAAAGAAUUUCAGAGCUUGAAGACUGGCUUUCUGAAAUAAGACUGGCAGACAAGAAUAGAGAAAAAAGAAUGAAAAGCAAUGAACAAAACCUCCGAGAAAUAUGGGAUCACGUAAAGAGAGCGAAUCUAAGACUGAUUGGUGUCCCUGAAAGAGAUGGGGAAAACGGAACCAAUUUGGAAAACGCAUUUCAGGAUAUCAUCUAUGAGAAAUUCCCUAACCUAGCUAGAGAGGCCAACAUUCAAAUUCAGGAAAUCCAGAGAACUCCAGGAAGAUACUCCACGAAAGGAACAUCCCCAACACACAUAAUCAUCAGAUUCUCCAAGGUUGAAACGAAAGAAAAAAUGUUAAAGGCGGCUAGAGAGAAAGGCCAGGUCACCUACAAAGGGAAGCCCUUCAGACUAACAGUGGAUGUCUCAGUGGAAAACCUACAAGCCAGAAGAGAUUGGGGGUCAAUACUCAACAUUCUUAAAGAAACUCCAACCCAGAAUUUCAUAUCUGGCCAAAGUAAGCUUCAUAAGCGAAGAAGAAAUAAGAUUAUUUUCAGACAAGCAAAUGUUAAGGGAAUUUGUUACCACCAGACCUGCCCUACAAGAGCUCCUGAAGGAAGCACUAAAUGUAGAAAGGAAAGAUGGUUACCAGCCACUCCAAAAACACACUGAAGUACUCAGACCAGUGACACUACAGAGCAAACAUGUAAGCAAGUCUGCAAAAUAACCAGCUAGCAUCAUGAUGAAAGGAUCAAAUCCAAACAUACCAAUACUAACCUUAAAUUGUAAAUGGGCUAAAUGCCCCAGUUAAAAGACACAGAGUAGCAAGCUGGAUAAGGAACUAAGAUCCAAUGGUAUGCUGUCUUCAAGAGAACCAUCUCACAUGCAAUGACACACAUAGGCUCAAAAUAAAAAGAUGGAUGAAAAUCUACCAAGCAAACGGAAAACAUAAAAAAGCAGCAGUUGCAAUCCUAGUUUCUGACAAAACAGACUUUAAAUCAACAAAGAUCAAAAAACACAAAGAAGGGCAUUACAUAAUGGUAAAUGGUUCAAUUCAACAAGAAAAUCUAACUAUCCUAAAUACAUAUGGACCCAACACAGGAGCACCCAGAUUUAUAAAGCAAGUUCUUAGAGGCCUUCACAGAGACUUAGACUGCCAGGCAAUGAUAGUGGGAGACUUUUUAACACCCCACUGACAAUAUUAGACAGAUCAUUGAGACAGACAGUUAACAAAGAUAUUCAGGACCUGAACUCAGCACUGGAUCAAAUGGACCUGGUGGAUAUCUACAGAACUCUCCACCCCAAAACAACAGAAUAUACAUUCUUCUGAUCACCGCAAGGCACUUACUCUAAAAUCGACCACAUAAUCAGAAGUAAAACACUCCUCGACAAAUGCAAAAGAACUGAAAUCAUGACAAACAGUCUCUUGGGCCACAGAAGAAUCAAAUUUGAAAUCAAGAUUAAGAAAUUCACUCAAAACCAUGCAAUUACAUGGAAAUUGAAUAACCUGCUCCUGAAUGACUUUUGGGUAAACAAUGAAAUUUAGGCAGAAAUCAAGAAGUUCUAUGAAACUAAUGAGAACAAAGAUACAAAGUACCAGAAUCUCUGGGAUACAGCAAAGGCAGUGUUAAGAAGGAAAUUUAUAGCACUAAAUGCCCACAUCAAAAAGUUAGAAAGAUCUCAAGUUAAUAACCUAACAUCACUACUAAAAGAACUAGAGAAGCGAGAGCAAACAAAUCCCAAAACUAGCAGAAGACAAGAAAUAACAAAAAUCAGAGCUGAACUGAAGGAGACAGAGACAUGAAAAACCCUUCAAAAAAUGAAAGAAUCCAGAAGCUGUUUUUUUUUUCUUUGAAAAAAAGUAAUAAAAUAGACCGCUAGCUAGACGAAUAAAGAAGGAAAGAGAGAAGAUUUGAAUAAACACAAUCAGAAAUGAUAAGGGGAAUAUUUAUCACUGACCCCACAGAAAUACAAACAACCACCAGAGAAUAUUGUGAACACCUCUGGGCACAUAAACUAGGAAGUCUAGAAGAAAUGGACAAAUUCCUGGACACACACACCUCCCCAAGGCUGAACCAGGAAGAAACUGAAUCCCUGAACAGACCAGUAAUGAGUUUGGAAAUUGAGGCAGUAAUAAAUAGCCUACCAACCAAAAAAAUCCCAGGACCAGAUGGAUUCACAGCUGAAUUCUACCAGAUGUACAAAGAGGAACUGGUAGCAUUCCUACUGAUACUAUUUCAAAAAAUUGAGAAGGAGGGACUCCUCCCUAACUCAUUCUAUGAGGCCAGCAUCAUCCUGAAACCAAAACCUGGCAGAGAUACAACAACAAAAGAAAACUUCAGGCCAGUAUCCUUCAUGAACAUCAAUGCAAAAAUCCUCAACAAAAUGCUGGCAAACUGAAUCCAGCAGCACAUCAAAAAGCUUAUCCACCACGAUCAAGUUGGCUUCCUCCCUGGGAUGCAAGGUUGGUUCAACAUAUGCAGAUCAAUAAAUGUGACUCAUCACAUAAACAGAACUAAAGACAAAAACCACAUGAUUAUCUCAAUAGAUGCAGAAAAGGCUUUUGAUAAAAUUCAACAUCGCUUCAUGUUAAAAACUCUCAAUAAACUAGGUAUUGAAGGACCAUGCCUCAAAAUAAUAAGAGCCAUCUGUGACAAACGCACAGCCAACAUCAUACUGAAUGGACAACAGCUGGAAGCAUUCCCCUUGAAAACCGGCACAAGACAAGGAUGCCCUCUCUCACCACUCCUAUUCAACAUAGUAUUGGAAGUUCUGGCCAGGGCAAUCAGGCAAGUGAAAGAAAUAAAGGGCAUCCAAAUUGGAAGGGAGGAAGUCAACCUAUCCCUGCUUGCAGAUGACAUGAUCCUAUAUCUAGAAAACCCCGUUGUCUCAGCCCAAAGGCCUCUUAAGCUGAUAAACAACUUCAGCAAAGUCUCAGGGUACAGAAUCAAUGUGCAAAAAUCACUAGCAUUCCUAUACACCAGCAACAGUAAAGCCGACAGCCAAAUCAGCAAUGAACUCCCAUUCACAAUUGCUACAAAAAGAAUAAAAUACCUAGGAAUACAGCUAACUAGGGAGGUGAAAGAUCUCUACAAGGAGAACUACAAACCACUGCUCAAAGAAAUCGGAGAUGACACACAAAAAAAUGGAAAAACAUUCCAAGCUCAUGGAUAGGAAGAAUCAGUAUUAAAAUGGGCAUACUGCCCAAAGCAAUUUAUAGAUUCAAUGCUAUUCCCAUUAAACUACCAUUGACAGUCUUCACAGAACGAGAAAAAAAAAACUAUUUUAAAAUUCAUAUGGAACCAAAAAACAAAAAAAGCCCGAAUACCGAAGGCAAUCCUAAGCAAAAAGGACAAAGCUGGAGGCAUCAUGCUACCUGACUUCAAACUAUGCUACAAGGCUACAGUAACCCAAACAGCAUGGUGCUGGUACAAGAACAGACACAUAGACAAAUGGAACAGAACAGAGAACCGAGAAAUGAGACCACACACCUACAACUAACUGAUCUUCGACAAACCUGACAAAAACAAGCAAUGGGGAAAGGAUUCCCGGUUCAAUAAAUGGUGCUGGGAUAACUGGCUAGCCAUGUGCAGAAGAUGAAAACCGGCUCCCUUGCUUACACUAUAUACAAAGAUUGACUCAAGAUGGAUUAAAGACUGACAUGUAAAACCCCCAACUAUGAAAACUCUGAAAGACAACUUAGGCAAUGCCAUUCAGGGCAUAGGCAUGGGCAAAGAUUUCAUGAUGAAGACGCCAAAAGCAAUUGCAACAAAAGCAAAAAAUUGACAAAUGGGGUCUAAUAAAAUUAAAGAGCUGUGCACAGUGAAAGAAACUAUCAACAGAGUAAACAGACAACCUACAGAAUGGGAGAAAAUAUUUGCAAACUAUGCAUCUGACAAAGGUCUAAUAUCCAGCAUCUAUAAAGAACUUAAACAAAUUUACAGGAAAACAAACAAUCCCAUAAAAAAGUGGGAAAAGGACAUGAACAGACACUUUUCAAGAGGAGACAUACAUGCAGCCAACAAUCAUAUGAAAAAAAAAGGUCAACAUCACUGAUCAUUAGAGAAAUGCAAAUCAAAACCACAAUGAGAUCCCAACUAAUAUUAGCCAAAAUGGCCAUUAUUAAAAAGUCAAAAAAUAACAGAUGCUGGCGAGGCUGUGGAGAAAAAGGAAUGCUUAUACACUGUCUGUGGGAUUGUAAACAAGUUCAGCCACUGUGGAAGACAGUGUGGUGAUUCCUCAAAGACCUAAAGACAGAAAUACCAUUCAACCCAGCAAUCCCAUUACUGGGUCUACACCCAAAGGACUAAAAAUCAUUCUGUUACAAAGACACAUGCAUGUGUAUGCUCAUUGCAGCACUACUCACAAUAGCAAAGACAUGGAAUCAGCCUAAAUCCCCAACAGUGACAGACUGGAGAAAGAUAAUGUGGUACAUAUACACCAUGGAAUACUAUGCAGCCGUGAAAAAGAAUGAGAUAAUGUCCUUCGCAGGGACAUGGAUGGAGCUGGAGGCCCUUAUCCUUAGCAGACCAACACAGAAAGAGAAAACCAAAUACUGCAUGUUCUCACUUAUAAGUGAGAGUUAAAUGAUGAGAACAUAUGGACACAUAGAGGGGAACAACACACACUGGGGCCUUUUGGAGGAUAGAGGGUGUGAGGAGGGAGAGGAUCAAGAAAAACAACUAAUGGGUACUAAGCUUAACACCUGGGUGAUGAAAUAAUCUAUGCAACAAAUCCCCUAUGACACAAGUUUACCUAUGUAACAAACCUGCACUUGUACCCCUGAACUUAAAAGUUUAAAAAAAAAAAAAAAAGGAGUUAGUGGCUAAUAAACUCUAAAUAAAGCAUUUCAAACUUAAAAGCAAAAUCUAGCCAGGUGCCGUGGCUCACGCCUGUAAUCCCAGCACUUUUGGAGGCCAAGGCAGGAGGAUCGCUUGAGGUCAGGAGUUUGAAACCAGCCUGAGCAGCAAAGCAAGACCCCGUUUCUACAAAAAAAUAGAAUUAAAAGAAAAGUUAGUUGGGUGGAGUCAUGAGUGCCUGCAGUCCCAGCUACUCGGGAAGCUGAGGUGGGAGGAUCUCUUGAGCCCAGCAGUUCAAGGCUACUGUGAGCUAUGAUCACGCCACUGCACUCCAGCCUGGGUAACAGAGCAAGACCAUGUCUCAAAAAAAAAAAAAAAAAAAAAAUUCAUCAUUUCUAAUUUUGCCUCUUCCAAGAAUGGAAGGAAAUUAACCUAUUCAGUACUGUUUUUUCUCUUGAAAAAUACCAGUCAGUUGUUAGGCUCAAAACCCUUUGAUAGAACAUAUCCAUAUCACUGGCCCCAGGGUGCUCUUGGGCAUAUUGGAAAUCCACUCACUUAGCUCAGCUGUGGAUUAGCUCAACUCUUAGUUACGAGACCAGAACAUGUCUGCAUCCUCACCUCCUUAAGCCUGCAGCUCAUCAGAACCAAAGACCCUGGCAGAGUUUGGUGGUAGUUCUUUUUUGUCAGACUUACAGUCAGGGGUUGGUGGGUUUGUGGGUAGCUCCAUUCUAGUCCUGGGCUUUAAUCUGUGAGUAUGGCUUUUGUCUUCCAUCUUGCUCAGGGUACUUUGGAACCGCUAUACAUUGCAGGAGCUUAGCUUCUGGUUACCAUGGUUUGCUUCCAGAGCAACAAGCCUAGUACUUCAACAUGGAGACAAUUAUCUUUUGUUUUUGUUUUGUUUUGUUUGUUUUGUCUUGGCCAUGCCUUUUUGAGUUUACCUUUUUAUAUUUUGUCCAUCAUUGCCAUGUGUUUGGAGCAGUGGGCGUUCCAUAACAUGAACUCACUGUACCAUCACGAAUGGGAAGUAAGGGGAAACCUUAUCCAUGUGGAUUUUACUCUUCCCUGAUUCCCUAAAUUGGGUUUGCAAAAUACUACUGUGCACUUUCUUGAUGAUUCGGGCUUAUCUUUAUGACUGUCUGUUUUUGUGUCAGACUGUAAAGAAGUAUAAAAGUCUUUAGCUUGAUUAAUGCAAUCCACGCUUCCUUUCUGGAAAAAAAAGGGGGGGGGCGCGCAUUUUUUUACAGUUGCAAUAAAUCGUCUUAAGCCAUGUUGGUGUAUAUCAUAUAGAUUAGUAGUGGUGUUCUAGCUUACUUUCUGUGUGGGCAGGCAGGCACGGUAAUUUAUCCCCUGCACGACUAAAGAUCACAAGGGCUAAUGCUGUGUAAAACUGUGAACUCAGUGAAGGUUUUUCUCUGUUAGCCCCAUCUUUCUCCAUGGUCUACCCACUGAUGGUGGCCACUCCCUCCAAUUCAGGUACUCCCUCCAAUUCAGGUACUCCCUCUCACCAUCUGCUUUCUAACUUCCUCUCUGAUGCCUUGACUGAGGCAGUGUCGUGUCACAGGAAGAGCACAAACUUGGAAUGAUCUGGGCUUGAAUUCCAUCUCUGACUUUUACUAGCCUGGGAAAUUGUGGGAAGUUGCUUUCUUUCCUUGAGCCUGUGUUCCUACAUAUGCAAAGUGGGGCUAAUAAAUGCCAGCUAGCUGAAAAAUCUAUGAUGAAGAAUGAAUCUAUACAUGUGUAUAAAGUGUGAGCAGCACAUAAAAAAACACUCAGUACAUAGUAGUUGUUUAUCAUUGUUGACAAUAUCACUGCUUGAGAGAAGAGGAGGAAUCAGGGCUAGGCUGUGUGUUUGACAGGAAUCAACAUUCUACUUAGGGGGAAGCAGCAAAUUUAUGACAGGCAGAAUUGGAAAAGUAUGUGAAAAUGUUAGGGGUCAGAGAGAGUAGGCAAGUUGUGAAGCACAGAUAUAUUGGCAAGACAUCUGAACUUCUAGGCCGGAGGGUUCCUGGAUAGGAAGUUGGCUUGGGGUUUUGGCAGUCCGAAGGCUGAGAGCUGAAAGAACAGAAUGGUCAGGGAACAGGUCAGAGAGCCAGAUGAGAAAAGCUGAGUCUGGAGAGUUUUAGGGAGAGUGGUGUGGUAAUGAAGGUGUGUAGAAUCAAUGAGACAGGCAGGCAGACACCCAUGCUCGUGAUGAUGCAUAGUUAAGGUGGAGCACAUACUUCCACAUCUAACUUCACCAUCUCCCAAAACCCCACUGGAACUGCUACAAAUGUGAUUUUUGAAAGGAUUAGAAGGAUAGGAGUGAAGAUGAAAUAAAAAGGGUUGAAGAACAGGAAAGGAGGCAACAACUAAAUUUUGGAUGCUGAAGAACAGAUGGAUGAGUGGCAACUGACUUAGCAGAUCCAAGAAGGCCACAAACUAGGAAUUCUGAGACCUUAGUGGGAAAAGCAAAAAGCUAACUUGAUUUACUCCUCACCCCCAGGAAUCUUCAAAGGCUGGACCAAGGUAACUCUGGAAGUGGAGUUACCUCUGGAAGUGAAGGGGGGUGGGUAUCAAAAUAAUGAAGGCUGUUUGAAAACUCUUUUAAGAAGUAGAUUCAUUGCCAAAUCCCCUCCUGCUGUCAAUGCCAGUGAGGGGCUGGCCCUUCCCUGCUCUGACAGAAGCCUGGAGUGUUAUUCCCUGGAGAGGGUAAAGCAGAGGGUCUCUGGAUGGGGAGUUCGCAGACUUAGUUGAGGGCUGGGGUCCUGUACUGAAAACAGGGGUGUUGAGUGGAAGCAUGUGUCCUGAAAGCUGUGAACUCCCAGUCUUCUUCCCUGCCCCUGCCCCUAAACUUCUGGCAGCUGGAAGAGUCUUCUGUGAGCCAUCUGACCAACCUAAGAGAAAAAGAUCUAAGGAGACUCACACUGAAGGCUCCCCAGUAAAGGGCUCACUCAGCUGGGUUACUCCCCGAUGAGGUACAUAUCUUGAUACUGUGAGGAAGAAGACACCCAUUCAAUUGAGGGUACUUAUUUUUGGAAUAGGAGGAGAGACCUGAGCAUUUUAGUUACUGCAAGGAAAGGAGCCAGGCAGAGAAGACGGAGAGAUUAGACAUUCUUGAGAGAAGAGGUAAUUGAUGGAGUGAGGCACCUGGGGAGGCAGGAUGGGAUCGAACCCAGAGCAGGAGUGGAAGUGACAGCCUGAGUCAGAAGAAAGCACCUUCAUCUUUCACUGAGAUAGGAUGAAAAGAAAUGAGAUCUGGUUAUAGACUCAAUUUGAUCCAUUAUUAUUUUGCAGCCACUAUAUCCAAGGCGUUGUGUGGGGUAGUGUUCAUUCAUCCAUCCACUCAUUCAUCCAACAUUUUUUGGAGCAACUACUGUGUUCCGGCACUGUGCUGCGUGCUGGAGAUACCGAGAUAAGUCAGACAAGGUUCCAGUCCUCAAGGAGCUCACAGUCACAGGACGAAAGCAGGCUCACAACAUAGGGCAAUAUGUGCUGUGAAAACUGAGCACAGGGGGCUGUGAGAACACGGAGCAAGGGACACUGUAGAGAAGGGAAUGAAGCAGGUAUGGAAAUGGAUAUAGAACAAGACAUGGACUGCUCUGUGCAUUCAAGGGCAGAGAGAUCUCAUCCAGCAGGGCCCAUCUGCAGAGGUUUCAUGAAGUUAGGUGGUCUUUGAGUUGAAACCGAGAGGAUGCCUAGGGUUUCUUUCAACCUGCAGUGACGUGGGGGUGGGGAACGGGUGCCCACCAAGAGGUGAAAACAGAUGCAAAGAUCCAGAGGCAGGAAAUUGCAAGAGGACAUGUUCAGGGUAGAGGGAGAGGCCCUGGUUGAGCACCUGAGAAGCCCCGGUUGAGAGUAUGCUGAGGCAAGUGGUAGGAGGUGCAGUUGUGAAGCAGGAAUAGGAUGAGAUGCAAAAAAUAUCACUGAAGCAACAUCACAAAUUGCAGCCGGGUUGAACAAAUGGAUUGUGUAAAAAACACCAGACUGUGAAAUGAGAAACCCGAUUCUGUUUGAGGCCCAGCUCUGAAACAAACUUGCUCUUGAUGUGGUGUGUAGUGACUCAGUUAAUGUCUCUGAACAUUGGUUUCUUCAUCCAUCAAGUGGUAGCAGGAACACCUUUCCUGCCUGUCUCAUGGGGUUCUCGUGAGGAGCAUAUAAGUCAGUGUACGAGAAAACACCUUUAAAACAACAACAACAACAACUCUUUAAAGUGCCGGUGCACACACGUGAAGGCUUAUUAUUGAGGAGACGCUUGUGCUGGGAACACAACCCUAACCCUAACCCUAACCCCUAACCCUAACCAGGGGAGCAAAUGUACUGAAAUAUUCUCCUAAAGGGAUCCAACAACAUUCCGAAACUAGUUGUUAGGUAACAUGGGGAGCGAAUCAACUCCUGUUAAUUUGGAAUGUCUAUAUGUCAAAUUUACAUACAAUAAAAAUAGAUUUGUACUAUCCUGGCGGUCUACCGAUGAUAGUACAACAGGAAUUAUACACACAAAAACAUGCAAAUGUCCGAUUGUUCUUCAUUCACUCAACCAACAUUCAUUGACCAUUCUGCUGUGCACUGAGGGCAGGCACGCUGGAGGCCAGACAAAUAGAAUUUCUGCCCUCAAGAUCUCCUUGUACCACGGGAGACACAUGUAUUAACAGCCAAUGUUAACACCAGGUAAGCACAAGGAGUCUGUGGGAGCUCAGAACAAGGGUACCUAAACCAGUCUUUUGCAGCUGAGGUUGUAUUAAUAUGAAGUAGUACCAUUGCCCCGAUUUUACAGAUGAGGAAACUGAGAGUUAGAGAGCAAGUGACAG
rnacentral:lncRNA from 1 species